UUGAGUUUGGCAUAAAGUCUCAGACUGUUUCCUCACAGCCUCUGCUGUUGUCAUUCUCCAGUAGCCCUGAAAAUAUUAGAUUGUUCCGCAUUGAGCGACAUGUACAUCAAGCAAAAUGUCUUUAAUUUGUUUGUUCUCCCUUUGCACCACCUCCACCUUCCUAUGAAUAGAGUCUACUAUAGAGCUGUCUUUUAACAUGCUAAACCCUUACACAUGGCCAGAAGACCAGGCCAGCCUUCUCACCUUUGGCGAUGAUGGUGUGGCAUACCUGAUGAGGCAUUUCAAGGAGCCUCUAGAGAGAUAUGGGGGUGCAACAUAGCUGCAAUCCUGGAUAAGUGGCAGGGGCUGAAAAUCCUGGUCAGCCACAAUUUCAAGGACAAGUCCUACAGUUGCCUGUGGGAGACCAUGUUGACAAAGGACCCCUACAGGCACAAUUACAAGAACAUUUGGUGCAGCUUAUGCUGGUGCUGCCCAUUUCAGCCACCCAGUGUGAGCGAAGCUUCUCUGCGCAGAACCGGAUUAAGAAUUCGUCAAGAAGCUGCCUUGGGUCUCCACCACCGAAGACCUGAUGAGGAUCAGCCUGGAG